AGUGAACUUGCAGUGAAGGUCCAAGCAGUGUUGACGGAGCUGCUGAGUCAGCUGCCGCGGCGGCAGCAGCAGCGGCAGCGGCGUUGCUACUUCCGCUACCAAAUGGCCGGCCUCUUUUCGGCGGCGGGGCGGCGGAUCCACCGGUUGAUCCGGUUAGCUUUGCUUGCUCUCUUUUCUGCAUUUUUCUCUUUGCUGUGUUGAUCUACUGAAAGUGGAGAAUUGGUCCGAAAAUGUUGGGUUUCGGAUCAUAGUAGAAUGGAUGGGCCUGAGUAUUUAAUUAGGCCCAAUGUACAGCCCAUUUAUGCAAUAUUGUGUAAUACACGAAGCAAGCAAUAGUGGAAAUACACAAAGCAGCUGAGUUAUUGUUCUUUGAUUAUUGUUUUCUAUGAUAGUAGAAGAAUGGUUCAUCCUUCCUUUAAGAAGACAGUAAACGCGAAGGUUUGGAUUGAAGAUCUUCACGAGACAGUCUGAGAUAUCGUAGAAUGUCGAAAAUAAUGGGGGCAUCAUGAACAUAAUUGUUUCCUCGAUUAUGGGUUGUGUCUCUCAUGUCCUUUUAAUUUUUUAUUUUAUUGACUUUCUUAUGUCAAUGUUGAAAUAUUUUUAUUGAGAUUUGGCCAAGGCCCUUCACAAUUUCUUA